GUGAACCCCUGCUAUCCACAAUUGGAUAUUGAACUCUGCUAUUCAUUUCCAAUUUCCAGAGCUCUGAAUGAGUUGGCAAAUAUCCAUCAUCCACAAAGGGCCCGGGCUGAUUUUAUCCCCAACAAAUUGGUGUCAGAAGUGGGAUUCAAACCCACGCCUCCAUUCGGAGUAUGAUGGAUGUUUGGCAUUACUCCAGCUUGCUUUAUGUGCUAUUUUAUGAUGUGCAAUGCUGAUUUUAAGCAAAAGGUCUAAAUUGAGGGAAUAUUAAAAGUACAUGUAAAGGUGAUGAUGAAUAAGAGAAAAAAAAAUAGAGGUUAUUUAAGGAGGGG